rnacentral:tRNA from 1 species
UUACAUCCUACAGGACUCGAACCUGUAAUUUUCGGCUUAGAAGGCCGUUGCCUUAUCCAAUUUAGCUAAGGAUGC